rnacentral:rRNA from 1 species
GAUGAACGCUAGCGGCAGGCUUAACACAUGCAAGUCGAGGGGCAGCGCGAUGUAGCAAUACAUUGGCGGCGACCGGCGCACGGGUGCGUAACACGUAUGGAACUUACCCUUUACUGGGAGAUAGCCCGGAGAAAUCCGGAUUAAUAUCCCAUAAUAAACGAGGUGGCAUCACUUUGUUUUGAAAGCUCCGGCGGUAAAGGAUGGCCAUGCGCACGAUUAGCUAGUAGGUGAGGUAACGGCUCACCUAGGCUACGAUCGUUAGGGGGCCUGAGAGGGUUAUCCCCCACACUGGUACUGAGACACGGACCAGACUCCUACGGGAGGCAGCAGUGAGGAAUAUUGCGCAAUGGAGGCAACUCUGACGCAGCCAUGCCGCGUGCAGGAAGAAGGCGCUACGCGUUGUAAACUGCUUUUAACCGGGAAGAAACCCCAGGACGUGUCCUGGGUUGACGGUACCGGAGGAAUAAGCACCGGCUAACUUCGUGCCAGCAGCCGCGGU